rnacentral:misc_RNA from 1 species
GGGUAUGUGUCUGGAGUCUGGCAAGG